rnacentral:rRNA from 1 species
UACGGAGGGGGCGAGCGUUGUCCGAAGUUACUGGGCGUAAAGCGCGUGUAGGCGGCUAAGUAAGUCGGGCGUGAAAUCCCACGGCUCAACCGUGGAAGUGCACUCGAAACUGCAUAGCUAGAGUCCUGGAGAGGAAGGUGGAAUGCUUGGUGUAGAGGUGAAAUUCGUAGAUAUCAAGCGGAACACCGGUGGCGAAGGCGGCCUUCUGGACAGUGACUGACGCUGAGACGCGAAAGCGUGGGGAGCAAACAGG